GUGUCAGCCGCCGCGGUAAUACAGAGGUCCCGAGCGUUGUUCGGAUUCACUGGGCGUAAAGGGUGCGUAGGUGGUGGAGUAAGUCGGAUGUGAAAGCUCGGAGCUCAACUCCGAAAUGGCAUUGGAAACUGCUCUGCUGGAGGGUCGGAGGGGGGACUGGAAUGCUUGGUGUAGCAGUGAAAUGCGUAGAUAUCAAGCGGAACACCAGUGGCGAAGGCGAGUCCCUGGACGACACCUGACACUGAGGCACGAAAGCUAGGGGAGCAAACAGGAUUAGAUACCCUGGUAGUCC
rnacentral:rRNA from 1 species